rnacentral:rRNA from 1 species
AUGGAUAAAAUUCCGCCGGAGACGAGGGCCAUCUAUGAUCUGCUCCGAGCCGAUUUCGACCGAGCCGACCGCGACCGUGUCGACUCCACGGCGCAAGCGAUCGCGCAGCUCGACGCCAAGCUCGACCACCUCUCAGGCCGCAUCGACGAGGUCAAGGUGUCGAUCGGCGUCGACAUCGAUGAGCUGCGGCAGGGGCUCGACCACUCUGCUCCACCGCCGUCGGAGCCCCAUCGAGGCGCGCCGGCCACACCAUCACAAGGGCCGAGCAGCAGUUCCAAUAGCUCCGAAGGGCACCGCGCCGACGCUGAAAACCGCGGGCAGGGGUAA